rnacentral:tRNA from 1 species
GGCCCCUUAGCUCAACGGAUAGAGCAGCUGACUUCUAAUCAGCAGGUUCGAGGUUCGAAUCCUCGAGGGGUCGCCA